rnacentral:rRNA from 1 species
AUUGAACGCUGGCGGCAUGCUUUACACAUGCAAGUCGAACGGUAACAGGCCUUCGGGUGCUGACGAGUGGCGAACGGGUGAGUAAUGUAUCGGAACGUGCCCAGUAGUGGGGGAUAACUACUCGAAAGAGUGGCUAAUACCGCAUGAGAUCUCUGGAUGAAAGCGGGGGGCCGUAAGGCCUCGCGCUACUGGAGCGGCCGAUAUCAGAUUAGGUUGUUGGUGAGGUAAAGGCUCACCAAGCCGACGAUCUGUAGCUGGUCUGAGAGGACGACCAGCCACACUGGGACUGAGACACGGCCCAGACUCCUACGGGAGGCAGCAGUGGGGAAUUUUGGACAAUGGGCGCAAGCCUGAUCCAGCAAUGCCGCGUGCAGGACGAAGGCCUUC